rnacentral:rRNA from 2 species
UACGUAGGGGGCAAGCGUUGUUCGGAAUUACUGGGCGUAAAGGGCGCGUAGGCGGCACGGCAAGUCGGGAGUGAAAGGCCUGGGCUCAACCGAGGAACUGCUUUCGAGACUGCCGAGCUAGAGUGCGGAAGGGGCAACUGGAAUUCCCAGUGUAGCGGUGAAAUGCGUAGAUAUUGGGAAGAACACCGGAGGCGAAGGCGGGUUGCUGGGCCGACACUGACGCUGAGGCGCGAAAGCCAGGGGAGCAAACGGG